rnacentral:rRNA from 1 species
CAGUAGCCGCGGUAAUACGAAGGGGGCUAGCGUUGUUCGGAAUUACUGGGCGUAAAGGGCGCGUAGGCGGCCAUUCAAGUUAGAUGUGAAAGCCCUGGGCUCAACCUAGGAAUUGCAUUUGAUACUGUUUGGCUUGAGUUCGGGAGAGGUGAGUGGAAUUCCCAGUGUAGAGGUGAAAUUCGUAGAUAUUGGGAAGAACACCAGUGGCGAAGGCGGCUCACUGGACCGACACUGACGCUGAGGCGCGAAAGCGUGGGGAGCAAACAGGAUUAGAUACCCCGGUAGUCCCUGUCUCUUAUAC